rnacentral:rRNA from 1 species
CCUACGGGCGGCAGCAGUGGGGAAUAUUGCACAAUGGGGGAAACCCUGAUGCAGCGACGCCGCGUGAGUGAAGAAGUAUUUCUGUAUGUCAAGCUCUAUCAGCAGGGAAGAAAAUGACGGUACCUGAUUACAGAGCCCCGGCUAACUACGUGCCAGCAGCCGCGGUAAUACGUAGGGGGCCAGCGUUAUCCGGAUUUACUGGGUGUAAAGGGAGCGUAGACGGCAGCACAAGUCUGGAGUGAAAUGCCGGGGCUUAACCCCGGAACUGCUUUGGAAACUGUGCAGCUAGAGUGCAGGAGAGGUAAGUGGAAUGCCUAGUGUAGCGGUGAAAUGCGUAGAUAUUAGGAGGAACACCAGUGGCGAAGGCGGCUUACUGGACUGUAACUGACGUUGAGGCUCGAAAGCGUGGGGAGCAAACAGGAUUAGAUACCCCAGUAGUC